CGCAUCUGUGCAUGCAGCAUAUCAAUAAGCGGAGGAAAAGAAACUAACAAGGAUUCCCCUAGUAACGGCGAGUGAAGCGGGAAGAGCUCAAAUUUGAAAUCUUAAAGGGUUUCCCUUUACGAAUUGUAGUUUAAAGAAGUGUUUUCUGUUGAGGUUUUGGUAAAAGUUCUUUGGAAUAGGACAUCAUAGAGGGUGAGAAUCCCGUAUUUGACCUUUACUUUCAACUUUGUGAUACACUUUCAAAGAGUCGGAUUGUUUGGGAAUGCAGUCCAAAAUGGGUGGUAAAUUUCAUCUAAAGCUAAAUAUUGGCGAGAGACCGAUAGCGAACAAGUACCGUGAGGGAAAGAUGAAAAGAACUUUGAAAAGAGAGUUAAACAGUACGUGAAAUUGUCAAAAGGGAAGCGUUUGACACCAGUGUUGUUUUUCUGAAAAUCAAUUAAAGAACUGUUUAUGCUAAGUUGUUUAGACUUUAUCAGCUAUCUGUUUAGUUUUGAGCUUUUCUUUAAUGCACUUUUCAGUUAACAAGUCAACAUCAAUUUCUUUUGCUGUAAAAAAGCUUGAGGAAGGUGGCUUGAGAUUCGUCUUAAGUGUUUAUAGCCUCUUGCCUAUGCAGUCGGAGAGAUUGAGGUCUGCAGCGUAGAUCCUUCGGGGCUAAAUGCAUUUGUGCUAAGUUAUAGCAUUUUAUAGACAACUUGUUGACUAUGAUUUGUCUUGUAGCUUACUCGCUUAUGUUAUUUUACCUACGCUUAGGAUGUUGAGUCAUCACACAUCUCU
rnacentral:rRNA from 1 species